ACGAACGCUGGCGGCGUGCCUAAUACAUGCAAGUAGCACGCUGAAGGAGGAGCUUGCUUCUCUGGAUGAGUUGCGAACGGGUGAGUAACGCGUAGGUAACCUGCCUGGUAGCGGGGGAUAACUAUUGGAAACGAUAGCUAAUACCGCAUAAUAGUAGAUGUUGCAUGACAUUUGCUUAAAAGGUGCAAUUGCAUCACUACCAGAUGGACCUGCGUUGUAUUAGCUAGUUGGUGGGGUAACGGCUCGCCAAGGCGACGAUACAUAGCCGACCUGAGAGGGUGAUCGGCCACACUGGGACUGAGACACGGCCCAGACUCCUACGGGAGGCAGCAGUAGGGAAUCUUCGGCAAUGGACGGAAGUCUGACCGAGCAACGCCGCGUGAGUGAAGAAGGUUUUCGGAUCGUAAAGCUCUGUUGUAAGAGAAGAACGAGUGUGAGAGUGGAAAGUUCACACUGUGACGGUAUCUUACCAGAAAGGGACGGCUAACUACGUG
rnacentral:rRNA from 1 species